UAGUCUCUCCAAGCUUAGUCAGCUUCCAUUUUCUCUAGGAGUUAACUUCUGCUUGUGUAUUCACAUACUCAGCGGUAACAACCAUACUUUGAAUUUUAUAAUAUUUGACAGUUCAGAUAUUUUCUGAUUAAUUAAUAUUACAGAACAUACUUGAAAGAAAUCCUGGCAUGUUUCUCUCAAGGAUGAAGAGUAGGAUUAUACCGUCCUCAUCUUUGCUGCCAUUUUGAUUCAAAGAAGUAGAAGAAGAGAUCAGGAGAGUGGCUACAAGAUGCAGCAAAAUGGAAAUGACCAGGGCUUCAGGAGACCAGUGAUCUAGCCCUAAAUUUUCCCCUACCUCCCUGAGGCGAGAGAGGUUUUUUCCUCUUUGGGUUUCCCAGAGUCACAUGAAGGAAGAAUAGCUUAAUUUACAUUUAUAUCUAUUUAAAUUUCAGACAAAAUUUCUGGCAAAAUUAAA